rnacentral:rRNA from 1 species
GAUGAACGCUGGCGGCGUGCCUAAUACAUGCAAGUCGAGCGAACAGACGAGGAGCUUGCUCCUCUGACGUUAGCGGCGGACGGGUGAGUAACACGUGGAUAACCUACCUAUAAGACUGGGAUAACUUCGGGAAACCGGAGCUAAUACCGGAUAAUAUAUUGAACCGCAUGGUUCAAUAGUGAAAGACGGUUUUGCUGUCACUUAUAGAUGGAUCCGCGCCGCAUUAGCUAGUUGGUAAGGUAACGGCUUACCAAGGCAACGAUGCGUAGCCGACCUGAGAGGGUGAUCGGCCACACUGGAACUGAGACACGGUCCAGACUCCUACGGGAGGCAGCGGAAGGAAAUCUUCCGCAAUGGGCGAAGGCUUGACGGAGCAACGCCGCGUGAGUGAUGAAGGUCUUCGGAUCGUAAAACUCUGUUAUUGGGGAAGAACAAAUGUGUAAGUAACAAUGCACGUCUUAACGGUACCUAAUCAGAAAGCCACGGCUAACUACGU